GACGAACGCUGGCGGCGUGCUUAACACAUGCAAGUCGAACGGAAAGGCCCUGCUUUUGUGGGGUGCUCGAGUGGCGAACGGGUGAGUAACACGUGAGUAACCUGCCCUUGACUUUGGGAUAACUUCAUGAAACUGGGGCUAAUACCGGAUAGGAGCUCCUGCUGCAUGGUGGGGGUUGGAAAGUUUCGGCGGUUGGGGAUGGACUCGCGGCUUAUCAGCUUGUUGGUGGGGUAGUGGCUUACCAAGGCUUUGACGGGUAGCCGGCCUGAGAGGGUGACCGGCCACAUUGGGACUGAGAUAAGGCCCAGACUCGUACGGGAGGCAGCAGUGGGGAAUAUUGCACAAUGGGCGGAAGCCUGAUGCAGCAACGCCGCGUGGGGGAUGACGGCCUUCGGGUUGUAAACCGCUUUCGCCUGUGACGAAGCGUGAGUGACGGUAAUGGGUAAAGAAGCACCGGCUAACUACGUG
rnacentral:rRNA from 1 species